AUUCCUACGGGAGGCAGCAGUGGGGAAUUUUCCGCAAUGGGCGAAAGCCUGACGGAGCAACGCCGCGUGAGGGAUGAAGGCCUCUGGGCUGUAAACCUCUUUUAUCAAGGAAGAAGAUCUGACGGUACUUGAUGAAUAAGCCACGGUUAAUUCCGUGCCAGCAGCCGCGGUAAUACGGGAGUGGCAAGCGUUAUCCGGAAUUAUUGGGCGUAAAGCGUCCGCAGGCGGCCCUUCAAGUCUGCUGUUAAAAAGUGGAGCUUAACUCCAUCAUGGCAGUGGAAACUGUUGGGCUUGAGUGUGGUAGGGGCAGAGGGAAUUCCCGGUGUAGCGGUGAAAUGCGUAGAUAUCGGGAAGAACACCAGUGGCGGAGGCGCUCUGCUGGGCCAUCACUGACGCUCAUGGACGAAAGCCAGGGGAGCGAAAGGGAUUAGAUACCCCUGUAGUCCUGGCCGUAAACGAUGAACACUAGGUGUCGGGGGAAUCGACCCCCUCGGUGUCGUAGCCAACGCGUUAAGUGUUCCGCCUGGGGAGUACGCACGCAAGUGUGA
rnacentral:rRNA from 1 species